ACCCGCCUUGGCCUCCCAAAGUGCUGGGAUUACAGGCAUGAGCCACCGCACCUGACCUCUCCUAGGUGUUUUAAACACCCUGCCUUGGACUAGUGGGUAAAGGUUAAAAGGAGAGAGGACUCAGGACGGGAAAGGGCUUUACCUGAUGGAGACAAGAUGCUCAAGAACAGUAGUGGGAAUGUGGUUGGUUUGGAGAGAGCUGGUUCCAAGUGGAAGAUGCUACAGGGAGGACAGCAGAGUCACCCGUUGUGCCGAGGACAGCCUCUGAUCUUUGAGGACAGCCUCUGAUCUUUGAGGACAGCCUCUGAUCUUCGAGGACAGCCUCUGAUCUUCGAGGACAGCUAUCAUUUGCCUCUGAGAACCACAUGAACCCUAACACGAAAACAUCUAAGGAGCAGAAACUUCGGGGGAACACUUUCUGUCUCCUCUUAUUCUCAUUUAAUAGGGAAUCAGCCUGGUAGAAGGGAAAGCGAUCUAGACCAGGAGUCUGGAGGCCCAGGCUCAGCUCUGCCUUUAAACAGUUGCAUGUCUUGGUCAAAUAAUUUCCCUUCUCACGCAUCUUUUUUUUUUUUUUUUUUAUUCUGUCAAACCAGAUUGCUGGGACUAGAUCAUCCCCGAGAUCCCUUCCAGCUUUGACACUCUGUGAGUCUAAUAUCCUGAAAAAGUGGUGUAAGAAGUUGCAUAGCUACCAAAAGGAGCAUGCAGGUGCUGAGUCAGGCAGACCUGAGUUUACAUCCAGUGCCAGCUCUUACUAGGUACAGGUGGUGCUUACAGAAAUGCUUGGAGCCACGAAAAUCUGUUUCCUCUUCUCAGAUGUCCUGCAUCUUGAGCCAGUUCUUCCACCUGGGGCUGCAAGGGCAUCUCCUAGUCUGGCCGUUAUCCCCAUUCCUCUGUCAGCUCCCAGGGUUCUCAACAAUGAGAACAUGAGUGAGGGGAAGUUGACUUAUACCCUGAGGAGCCGGAGCCAAAAAGAAAGCCUGCCAGUCCUCGGAUGAAUACGUCCCAUUACGUUUGUCAGCCUAGGACCUUGGGAUCCAGCAGCCCUUCAUUUCUGAACCCUCUUUGACGGGGGAGCAGCAGCUGUGAGUCAGGCUGACUGCCUCUACACCUCCCCUACAAAGCUCGAGGGGUCAUGAGGAAAACUAGGGCUUCCUUCCAGCCAUCUUUCUUCUAUCCAUGGUCUUCUAUUUUGCUUACCUCCAUUCUGGGAAAUUGUGUUGUCUGCACUGUAGUGGCACAUAUAGGUCCUUUGACAAGCAAACAACUGUUUACCAUGUUUCUGAAAGAACUUGGAGAACCCUCAUCCCUGCUUUUUUUCUUUUUUUCUUUUUUUCUUUUUCUUUUUUUUUUUUUUUGGCCCUGCUCUUACAACAAGAUCUGUAUCAACUUCCUGGCAAGGAGGGAGGAAGCACCAGAUUCUAGGCUGUGUGUAAACAGGGAAACUGAGGCUGGGGAGGAUGAAGUAAUUGUGGAUGAAGUGGGGAUAAUAGACAAGUGCUUGUCUCUGACAACCAGCCUAAUUUUUGGCCAUAAACUCAUGCUUCUUUUUACACACUUGAGAAUUAGACAACAAAGAAGCAACAGGGUAUAUUCAGUAUGGUUAAACUCUCUGAAGUUUUUCAGGGCUGACUUGCAAAGAAGAAGUGGACAUUGUACAUAUGAAUGAGACUUUACAACCACAUGCGGGAAAGUUAGUAGAGGCUUCUAAGAGAGAACUGAAGCAGAACAGAUUCUGUGGGCUCUGAAAGCUGAGGGAGACGGCAUUGCAGAGGUGAACGGGCUGCCUGGGUUGCUCUGUAGAGUAUGUGAUCAAACCGAUUUGAAACAAAAUUUAGCUGUAAGCAUCAGUCCUGCUUUUCAUGGUUGAACUUCACAGAAUGAGAUUCUGGGAGUCAAAGGGAAUAACAUUUUAUGCUAUUUUACUGUGUAAUUCUGGGAAAGGAGCUCUUUUUCUGUGACCCAGUUUAACUUUCUAAAAAUAAAAAAAAACACCCUGAAUUCAAAGGAAGAAU